UGCCUAAUGAGUCAUACAGAGAGAAAAGUAAGUUAUAAAUUAUGUCCCCCAUUUGCUGCAACUCUCAGUGGUAAGAAUGAUUCAGUGCAGCUAUAGGAGAGUACUUCCAUUGGCAUGCCACCUGCCUAAAAUACACAAUUUUGUUAAGAUAUACAAUAAAAUUAUUAUGCUAAUAGCAAAUAUUUUAUGUAGCUCACUAUGUUCCACGUAGUCUUCUAAGUGUUUCAUGUUAGUCCCCAGUUAAACACCUGGUUUUGGAAGGCUGAAGCAGGAGGAUCGUUUGAGCCCAUGAGUUUGAGACCAGCCAGAGCAAUAUAGUGAGACCCUGUCUCUAAAAAAAAAAAAAAAAAAAAAAAAAAAAAAAAAAAAAAAUUUAAACACUUAUCUGAGGCAUGGUGGUGCACGCCUGUAGUCCCAGCUACAUUGGGAGGCUGUGGUAGGAGGGUCGUUUGAGCUUGGAAUAUUGAGGCUGUAGUGAACAGUGAUCAAGCCGCUGCACUCCAGGCUGGGUAACAGAGGGAGACUCUGUCUCAUAAAUAAAACGUUUUGUAUAGAUUCCCUUAGAAGUGAGUUAGACAUCAGUCAUAGAAUUAUUAGCCACUUUGAUGUCUACCUUGGGAGUAAAACAUAUAAUAAGGGGCAGCAUUAAACCAUCUCAAUCACUAGCCUCCAACUUCUCAAGAAGGUUCUUAUUUCAUGAAUUUCUACACAAAAGACUAACUGGGUUAAGACAUUUGGUGGACACCAUUUUGAGAUGAAGAAUCUUGAGUGAGAAGAAGGGAGAUCUCUACUUACUGAAGCUUCCCAAUGACAUAGUUAAAUGUCCCCCAAAAGAAACUUUAGAACAAGACUUUCAUCAUGCCAUAUCUCUAUGGAAAAGGAAUUUCUUUAAAAGAAAACAAAGGCAAACAAUUGAUAAUAUGAUUCUCAUGGGAAAGUUUUCAUCAUAAAAGAAAAAGAGGGCUGGGUGCCGUGGCUCACGUCUGUAAUCCCAACACUUUGGGAGGCUGAGGUGCGUGGAUUACCUGAGGUCAGCAGUUCAAAAACAGCCUGGACAACAUAGUGAAAACCUGUCUCUACUGAAAAUACAAAAAUUAGCCAGGUGUGGUGGUGUGCACCUGUAGUCGCAGCUACUUGGGAUGCCGAGGCAGGAGAAUCACUUGAACCCAGGAGGUGGAAGUUGCAGUAAGCCGAGAUGGUGCCACUGCACUCCAGCCUGGAUGACACAGUGUGACUCCAUCAAAAAAAGAAAAAAAGAAAAACAAAAAAAGGGACAAAGUAUACUGGUCCAAAAAAGAAGAAAGCAAGAAAAAAAGGACAAAGUAUACUGGUUAGUAUCAUAACAGUGAGAUAGUCCCCCUUUGAGAUUAGAAAAUAACAGUAUACUCAAAGUAACAUUAAUGAGAACCAACAUAAAAUAGACAACAUUCACUAUCUACAAAAGUAAUCUGCACCAAUUAGCAAUGUAUGAGCAUGUGGUUGAGAAUAUUUUCUAUAAUAUGGGUACUAGAAGGAAGAGACCUCAAGAAAAUGGUCAGAGCUGGAAAUGUAGAUUAGGGAAUCUAGGUCAAAGUUUUGAGAUUUUAGGAGUCCUGAGAGAAUUUAAAAAGAGAAAUAGCCACCAGGCAUGGUGGCCACACCUGUAAUCCCAGCACUUUGGGAGGCCAAGGCAGGAAGAUCAUGAGGUCAGGAGUUCAAGACCAGUCUGGCCAACAAGUUUCUUAUAUAGGUAAACGUGUUCCAUGAUGGUUUGCUGCACCUAUCAAUCCAUCACCUAGAUAUUAAGCCCUGUGGGCAUUAGUUAUUGAUCUUGAUGCUCUCCCUCCUGACCCCAACAGGCCCCAGUGUUUGUUGUUCCCCUCCCUGAGUCCAUGUGUUCUUAUCGUUCAGCUCCCACUUAUAAGUGAGAAGAUGCAGUGUUUGGUUUUUUCUUCCUGCAUUAGUUUGCUGAAGAUAUCAGCUUCGGGUUCAUCCAUAUCCCUGCAAAGAGCACGAUCUCAUUCAUUUUUAUGGCUCCAUAGUAUUCCAUGGUGUAUAUAUACCACAUUUUCUUUAUCCCAUUAUCACUGAUAAUGUCCAUCUGGGUUGAUUCCAUGUCUUUACUAUUGUGAAUAGUGCUGCAGUGAACAUGCAAAUGCAUGUAUCUUUAUAAUAGAAUAAUUUAUAUUCCAACGUAUGGUAAUUUUAAAUCAGUUUUGGUAUUAAAAAUCAUGCAUUUUGGAAAAUAUUGAUAAUGGAAAAAUCCAAAUUCUGCCAAAAUAUGUUGAGAAAAUAGAGAGUAAAUAUAUCUUUUCAAACUUUAAAUGCCUCAGGCUUUUAGUUAAUCUUCCCCAGAUCUGGGAAGACCUAGAAGGGGAGAUUGGGCUACCUUAAUGAGGGCCAUUUCAAUCUCUUGGCCCUGCAGCAGCCAUUUCAAAAUACGUCAAACAAUAUAUUUGGGGGUAAAUUAUUUUGAUUUCCUUCAGCUUCUUCUCUCUGUGAUGUUGCACCAGAAUCAGAUUAGAAAGGAAGCCACAUUAUAAGUGUUAAUAAAACCCAUCUGAUGAGAUUUGAUAGUUUGAAGGGUGUGUUUCCCAGACCCUUUAGAUAGAAAUUAGGGCCAAGGAAAACAAGGUCUUAUUCCUCUAUAUAAAUCUGUCAGUGCUUUAAGCAGUGAAAGAAAGAUUUUUCAUUGAAUUUUACAGACUUGAUACUAAUGAAAAGGAUAGCUUGUAAAAUAUAAAUCUAUUUUUCUAUAAAAAGGACAUGUUGUUGAUUCUCUUAGACCUUGAACCCUGGCCAGUGAUUUGAAACCAAGCAGUACCUAUCUGCAGAUCUCUAGUACCAAAUUAAUUUGGGGUGGGGGGUAACAGGUUUAUUGAGAAAUAAUGAACACGCCAUGCAAUUCACUCAUUUAAAGUAUAGAAUUCAUUAACUUUAGUAUUUUCAGAGAGUUAUGCCGUCAUCAUUACAAUUAAUUUUAGAACAUUUUCAUCACCCUAAAAACAAACCCCACAUCAUUUAGCCAUCUUCACUAGUUUUCCCUUCCUCCCUCAGCCCUAGGGAACCACCCACCUUCUUUGUAUAGAUUUGCCUAUAAGCCUCUGAAAUAAAAAGCAAGUGGUCUGCUGGGACUGGCUUAUUUCACUUAGCAUAAUUUUUCAUGCUGCAUCUGUGCUGUAGCAGGUAUUGAUGCCGGGUUUUUGCUCCUUAGUUCAGCUACAUCUGUGUUCUUCUCUCAUGACCAGGAAAAAUUAAGCCUGCAGACACAUUGAGGAGGGCAGAAUUUAUUAUGUGAAAGCACAGCUCUCAGCAAAGAGAGGGGUCCUGCAAAGAGGUUUCCACCUCACAAUUGAAUACCAGGAGCACAUGAGCUGAAGCGGCCAGGCUCCUCCUCUGCAUAAGGUGUGAAUUCCUGGUGACUCCACCCCAUCCCCCCACUGCAUGUGGGCCUCCAGUCUGCUGUGGGCAUGUCCAGGCAAGACAAGUCCAGGUUCCCUUAUCUGCACAUAACAUCAGGUGUAAACACUUGUGGGGCUCGUUGGAGAUUCUCCGGGGACCCUUCCGUAUCUGCCUAGGCAUUUUGCUGUCUCCUCCUAAUACGAUCGAAUAAGAAAAUAGCAAUGAUCAGUAUCAGCUCUUUAUGGAGAAAGAGCAGGUGAAAUAUUUUCUCAGCACUCUUCCUACAAGGCGAGGUCGAGAGUCACCUUGUGUUGAAAAUCUUACUAGUAUAGGACUCAACAGAAAAUAUAUUCCCCAAAUGCCCGUAAGAAUUCCUACUUCAAACCUCAGACUUCAAAUAACUGCCAGAACUACUUGACUGAGGUUAGUUAUAUGACCGUUUCUCUUUAGGGUUUCAUUUCUCUAGCGUAAUUCUUGUUUAUAAUUUGGUGAAAUACUGAGUUGUUCUGUUGACUUUUGCAUGUGAAGUAAAGAUCAUAAUUAGCUGUGUUAACACAGAAAGGAAAUGGGAACUUUACAUUUUUUAAUUCCCUGGAGCUCUCAUUUUCAAGAGAUAUCCAUUUGCUAACUUUAUUCAAGAAAUGUGACUAAACUGACAUGUUUGAAAUGUCUUUAAAACCUGCAUUUAAGUUAGGUUUUAGAAAUUGCAUGUUAUUGCCUGAUAAGUGAUGAUAUACUUUGAGAUGGUCUGGCUUACUCUCUAAUUGAUUAUAGUUUAGCUGUGGUUCAUACCACAUUUUUUUUUCUUUUUUUUUGAGGCAGUGUCUCACUCUGUCACCCAGGCUGGAGUGUCUUGGUGCCAUCUCCACUCACUGCAACCUCCACCUCCCGGGUUCAAGUGAUUCUCCUGCCUCAGCCUCCUGAGUAGCUGAGACUACAAGCACCCACCAUUACACCCAGCUAAUGUUUGCAUUUUUAGUAGAGACAGGGUUUCACCAUAUUGACCAGGCUCUUCUUGAACUCCUGACCUUGUGAUCUGCCUGCCUGAGCCUCUCAAAGUGCUGGGAUUACAGGCAUGAGCCACCGCACCCGGCCCAUGCCACUUUUAAAGUUUCUUUGCACCAGCCAGGUGUGGUGGCUCAUGCCUGUAAUCCCAGCACUUUGGGAGGCUGAGGCAGGUGUAUCACGAGGUCAGGAGUUCAAGACCAGCCUGGCCAAGAUGGUGAAACCCCAACUCUACUAAAAGUACAAAAAAAAAUAUUAGCCUGGUGUGGUGGUGGGCACCUGUAAUCCCAGCUACUAGGAAGGCUGAGGCAGAGAAUUGCUUGAACCUGGGAGACGGAGGUUGCAGGAGCUGAGAUUGCACCACUGCACUCCAGCCUGGGUGACAGGGCAAGACUCCAUCUUGAAAAUAAAAAAAAAAUUAAAAAAGUUUAUUUGCACCAUCUCAAUUCUUCCCACCCAUAAUCACAACUGAAUGAUUAGCAUCCACUUUGCCACAUAUGGAUGUUUAUUAUUUAGUAGAAUCCAAAAUAAUUGCAUUUUAUGAAUUAAACAAAACACUAAAAUGUUCAUUUCCCUUUUUAUUUUAAAAGCUUUGUGCUUGGCCAGGCAUGGUGGCUCACACUUGUAAUCCCAAAAUUUGGGGAGGCCGAGGCAGGUGAAUCACCUGACGUCAGGAGUUUGAGACCAGCCUGGCCAACAUGAUGAAACCUGUCUCUAGUAAAAAUACAAAAAUUAGCAAGGCGUGUUGGCAGGCAUGUGUAAUCUCAGAUACUCAGGAGGCUGAGGCAGGAGAAUCACUUGAACCCAGGAGACAGAGGUUGCAGUAAGCCAAGAUCAUACCACUGCACUAUAGCCUUGGUGAUGGAGACUCUGUCUCAAAACAAAACAAAAAAAAGGUUUGUGCUUUCUUUACAUAAGAGUACAUCUUCUGACUAUAAAAAUCCUGGAAAAAACCUAGGAAAUACUCUUCUGGAUAUCAUAUUUGUCAGUUAAUUUAUGGCUAAGUCCUCAAAAGCAAUUGCAAGAAUAACAAAAAUUGACAAGUGUGAUCUAAUUUAGCUAAAUAGCUUCUGCACAGCAUGAGAAACUAUCACGAGAUUAAACAGAAAGCCUAAAAGAAUGGAAGAAAAUAUUCACAAAGUAUGGAUAUAGCAAACGCCUAUUAUCCAGAAUCCAUAAGAGACCUAAACAAAUCAACAAGCAAAAAAUAAAUAAGACCAUUAUAAAUGGGCAAAGGACAUGAACAGACAGUUCUCAAAAUAACACACGUAAGUGGCCAACAAACAUUAAAAAAUGCUUACCAUUGCUAAUCAUCAGAAAAAUGCCACACAAAACAUCAAUGAGAUACCAUUUCACACCAGUCACAAUGACUUUUGUUAAAAACAAAUAAUAAAUAAAAACUUAAAAAAGGAUGUUGGGGAGGCUGUGGAGAAAAGGGAACACAAACCGUUUGUGGCAAUGUAAAUUAAUUCAGCUACUAUGGAGAGCAGUUUGGAAAUUAAGAACUAAGAAUGACUGUUGGAUGCAGCAACCCCAUUACUAUACUAGGGGUAUACCGAAAGGACAAUAAAUCAUUGUAACAAAAAGAUGUAUACACAUGUAUGUUCAUUGCAGCACUAUUCACAAUAGCAAAGACGUGGAGUCAAUCCAGGUACAUCCAAGGUAGAUUGAAAAUCCAAGGUAGAUUGGAAAAUUCCAUAUAUACCAUGGAAUACUAUGCAGCCAUGAAAAGAACAAAAUCACAUCAUUUGCAGCAACAUGAAUACAGCUGGAAUCCACUCUCCUAAGCAAACCAACGCAGAAACAGAAACCAAAUAUCUCAUGUUUUCACUCAUGUGGGAGCUACAUAUUGGGUGCACAUUGUCAUAAAGGUGGGAAUAAUAGACACUGGGAAAUAAGAAUGGGGAGGGACAGAGUGGGCCAGGGUUGAAAAACUACUUCUUGGGUCCUAUGCUCACAACCUGUGUGAUGGGUUUAAUUGUACUGCAAACCUCGGUAUCCCUCAAUAUGCCUUUGGAAGAAACUUACAGAGGUACCACGUUAAUUUAGAAUACAAACUAGAAAAAAAAAAGAAAAGUUUACUAUAAGUAGAGAACAGAAAUUUCUUUUUAAGAUAAAAUUUAUUGAAGUAAAAAAUGGAUUAAACUUUUAUAAAGGGCAGAGUUUUCUAAGAAUUUCAAAGCAAUGCAUUCAUUGCAAAAGAUGGCUUUAAUUACUUAAUCUUUUUUUUUUUUUUUUUGUGAGACAGGGUCUCACUCUCUCACCAGGCUGGAGUGCAGUGGUGCAGUCUUGGCUCACUGCAACCUCCACCUCCUGGCUUCAAGCAAUUCUCCUGCCUUAGUAUCCCAAGUAGCUGGGACUACAGGUGCACAUCACCACGCCCAGCUAAUUUUUGUAUUUUUAGUAGAGAUGGGGUUUCCCCAUGUUGGCCAGGAUGGUCACGAUCUCCUGACCUUGUGAUCUGCUUGCUUUGGCCUCCCCAAGUGCUGGGGUUACAGGUAUCAGCCACCAUGCCUGGCCAUUGUUUAACCUUUGUACUAAUAAAACACUACCUUUCUAAAAUCAUGUAUAUGCAAUAGAUCAAUAUUAACUGCAUUUUUGUCAGAUUACUCUAAACAGCAUUACACAUAUACAUCCUCUGUUAUCUAAACUUAAAAUAAGUAGAAAUUUUAUUUUAUUUAUGUGAUUAUUUUUCUAUUUAAGCAAACUUCAAGUUAUGUCUAGUCACUAAAAAUACUAAAGGCCACAUUUUGUAAGUGAUACAUGAUUUUCAUGAUAAUGUUUCUUGUUUAAUUUAGACAUUAUUAUUAUUUUUACUUAUUUUAGAUGGGGCUGGACUGUGUAGAAUAAAUAAUUAGAGAAACAAAGAGAAGUACGUUGACAAAAUUUAUUAAUUAAAUUUAGGUUUAUUUUAGAAAUAAAGUGUAAAUAGCAAAUGGCAUUCCUUUUCAUUCUUGGGUUAGUAGAUACUACAUCAAUAUUUUUUUCUUACACACAUCUAAUGAAAGAUGUGAAAACAAAAACUUUCACAGAGAAGACUGUACUUAUGCACCAUAAAUUCAUCAUGUUCCUAAGCUUAAACAGUUCCCAAGAAGUCUGUGCAUCUCUUUUUCACUGGCUUUACAGUUUCUUAAGUUUUGCCAUCCUCAUGGAACUGUCAGCCAGCACACUGAAACGAUUCUCAGAAAACAAAAGCAUCAUCAAGUUCUCAGGGUUUCGGUAGAGAUUGAAGGCCAACAGACCUAAGACUCAUUCAGAAAUACUUAGCUGAGCAAUAACCCUUCAUAAGCAGUCACUUGACAGGUGACAUUUUAAAUCUCCUCUAAUUUAAUGUGUCAUUGGCUUACACUUGUUCUCAGGAAAAGUUCCAAAUUUUUCACCAUGAAAUAAAAACACCCAUGUCAAUGUAAUUCUUGCCAAGUUACUCAGCCUUGUUUCUCACCACUUACUGCACUCUGCCCUUUGCUCUAGCACCAAACUGGAUGGAGUGGAACUCUGCAGGGCUCUUCCUCACCUCAGGCUCUUUGCCUUUGCCUCUUUCCUCUAUCUGGGAAGCUUUUCCUUGUCCUUCAGGUAUCAACCUAUGUUAUCUCCUCCACCAGAAAGCCCAUGAUAUUGACAUAAAAGUGGGUAGAUGUCCCUUCUCUGUGUUCCAGUAGUGCCCUGCUGUAUACCUGUCACGGUAUCUAUGACUCUAUAUGGACAUUGUCUGCCUGUCUGUUUUUUAGGUUAUAGCUUAUGACUGUUGAGAGGUGGACCAUGCCAUCUUCAUCUUGUAAUUCCAGUGCUGGUUCUAGUACCUUAGCAUGUGGCUGUUGAUUACAUGAAUGAAGACUGAAAAAGUUCUGAUAUUUAAACACAAUUAGAAUUAAUGCCAUGUGUAAAUUAUUAAAUAGUAAUUUUGUAUUGUAAAUGUACAUACAUAUUUCUCAUUCUUAUUAACUCUGAUAAAGUUCUCAAGUCUUUAGUUUUUAAACUCACACUUAGUUAACUGAAGUGUUUUAGGUAAAGAACAAAAUUCUUUAUUUUUCUUUCCAGCUGUUGCUGUAUUGGACACUUGCUCCCAUCUACUUUCUUCUCUAGAAUCCACGGGUAAGCCACAUCUAAUGAAGAGAAUAUUUAACCAUAAAGUCUUAAGGAAAAAUUCUAUGAUGAUUUAAAAGAUUAUAAAACUUUAUUACUGGGCUAUUUACACAUUUUAAUUGUUUCUCAUAAAAUAUAUAACAUUCCAAUAUUUACUGAAGUAGGAUAUUUUUGUAUCAUAUGUAUGAUUAUAAUUUAUAGGGUAUUUUAAAUGAUGUUUUUUGGCCUCCUUAAGUUUUAAGUGGAUCUUGCAAAUGAAAACCAGUAUUAUUGAGUUUGACAUACUCAAAUUGCCCAAAUGUCAGCUGUUUAAACAACCAAGUCAUCACUGAUACUUUAGUAAAGGUUAGUAAAGGUCAUCGAAGGCUUAUUUGCAUUUUACAGUUUUUAUUACUUAGGAGAGUUAAGGAGUACCUGCCAGGUUUGUCCAUGUUAAUGUUACAAUUUUCUUUUUGUAGUUCAACUGUAUUUUGUAUGGAGAUACUUUGAGGCUCUGUAAAUAUCUGGUUACUCCUCAGAACCCACUAGAUUUAGCAUUUCAUGGAUGACUUGUGUUUGAACAAUUAUUACUAUGAUGGUUACCAGAUGAUUAUUUUCUUAUUCUCUUCUUUGUUCUACAUGGAGAAAUAAAACCAAUAAAUAAGGGAGAAGGAAAGCUCAUGAUUCUGAUGCUCCAAUUCCCCAAGAUUAGGCCAGUAGUAGACAUUCCAAGCUGACUUUAUGUCUCUUUGAUUUGUCUCCAUUACUCUGUCGGCACUUUUUUACUUUCUGGCAGAAGAUGUUCUAAGCUCAGCUUGUAUUUUCUCUGCGCCAGCUCUGGAAUGAGUCAUUUUUUUUAGAAGCAGAGGUGGAGCCACUGAGGAAGCACAGGUGAGCCCUCCCCAGUGUGUACUCACUGGUCCCCAACAGAAGAACCACUGCCACAUCCACUGAAGUACCAAGAAACUAGCAAAGGGCCUUCUGGCUGUCUGGGGAGAGUCCUCAUGUGGUCCCUGGCUGUCUCAGAGGUUCUGGAUUAGUCUUCCUGUAGCCUCUGUGUUCUGUCUUUAGAUCGGGGCUCUGUGGGAAGGGCCCUGAGAGACCCAACAGCACAGCGUGCCUUAUCUGCCAAAUGUCCCUCCCUUCCUCACACCCUGACACUCAGGAAUAGGGUAGAUGGUGUGUCCAGGCAGUGUCAGGCCACCUCACUUUCUCCUUUGAGACGGGCCCAGAGGGCCUUUGGGGUGAGUGUGGAGCUGGGAACCUGGAGCCUGAGGCCAACUGUCUCUCCCUGUGUCUUGGAGGAAAGGCCACGUCCCAAAAAAAAACCCCAGGGCCUGACCUCUGGGCACACAUGCAGGGAGGGAGGGUCUAUGAGCUGAGGGGGACAUUGUAAUGAGACUUUGAACCCCGUUGCUCCGAGGCCUGGUCAGUGGACCAUGGUCAGAGAUGACCUGGUCAUCAGGACCUGGUCAUUUGGGACCUGAUCAGCAGGGGCCUGGUUAGUGGCAGCCUCCUCAGUAAAGGCCUCAUCAGUGGGGACCUGGUGACCUAGUCAUUGGAAGCCUGGUCAGUGGGGGGACCUAGUCAGUGGUGGCUUUAUUAGUGGGGCCUGAUCUGUUGGAACAUAAACAAUGAAAAACUGGUUGGUGGGGCAUACACAAUAUAUCACGGGCCUGGUCAGUGUGGGGCCUUAGUGGCUUGGAGCCUGGUCAGUGAGGGCCUGGUCAGAGGGGGCUCAGUCAGCUGGGUACUCGUUCAUGGAGAAUUGUUCAGUGGGGGGUCGGUUGAGCAGCAACCUGGUAAAUUGUGGUCUUGUCAGUGGGAACCCUGUCUUGUCAAUGGGGACCAGGUCAGUGGAAAAUUGGUCAGUGGGGUCUGGCCCAUGAGGCCUAUUAAGUGUGGGCCUGGUUAGGAAGACAUGGUCAGUGGGGACUUGAUCAGUGGGACCUGGUCAAUGGAGGAGUGGUCAUUAGGGGUCUCAUCACUCAUCACUGGGAACCUGGUCAGGGGCAGUUUGUCAGUACCUGGCCUGCUGGCCACUAUGUGACCUCAGGCAGGGGGGUUGUCUGUGGAGCCUCCUUGCCUCCAUCUGCAGGGAAAGUGAGUCGGGGCACCCUGGAGGGUGGCUGGAAAGAGAAGGUGAGAAGAUGUGUUGAAUCCAAUACUGCUUGGCAGACCUAGAACUUUACAAAUGACCUGUGUUCCACCUAGAGAGGGUGCCAGCCCUCUCAGCAUUAUGCAGUGCCCCUCCUCUGUCCGCAUCCCCAGGACCACCAUGGGUGGGGAGGGCAGAGAUUGGGGAGCACCUAUAGAGGCUCUAAUGCUCUAAGGUGACAGUGAUGAGGAACUGGGUGCACCCAUGAGUGGAGAAGCUAGGCCUGUCCAGAGAAGCAAGACAAACACACACAUACACACUCACACACACACAGGCACAUAUGCAUACACAAAUACAUUGCAUACACACAUGUCAGUUCAGGGGAUAGAGGACACUGACUCUGGGCCCUGUUGACCCAAGCAGACUCCCAUGGUGGUGGGUUGUGUCACCCCACAAUGUCACUGUUGCUGAGUCCCCAUCGCCUCUGUGUUGUGGAGCAGUUAGAGACACACAGCAGUGUCUGUGAGUAGCUCUGCGUGAAGGACCAUUUUCUAGAUGAGAGGCACAUCUCAACACAGCUCACUGAUCAGAUUCAGCAAUUCCAUUCUGCAUCUUUCCUGAUCACCUCCGUGACAACACAGGACAACCCCAUCAGGGCCCUGUCACCAGGCCCAGUCUAGCUCCAUGAUAACCAAGACACAGGCCCAGAGACAAUCGUCCUACAUUGUGCCUGCAUCUGACACCCCUUGGUAGGUAGUGACCAGCACAACAUGGAAGAAGCCAGGGCAGCAUGCAGCCAGCUGCUCUGCAGCCCCAAAUGGCUCCUGGGCCUUGGGAAGUCACUCAUAAAGGGGAAGCUGGUCACUUUGAGGUCCCUGAAGGGAAGGGUGAACGUGCAUCCCAACAGCCCUGGCAGCCAGCAGCAUGCCAUACAUAUUCUCACCCAACGUGUGUGACAGAGGUCCCCUCCUGGGGCACAAGUCCCAUACCUAAAGCAUUCUGUCCCAGUCG